rnacentral:sRNA from 1 species
GAGUGAGGGGGUGAACAGUGACAGAGUGAGGGAAGGGGUGACUAGUGGCAGAGUGAGGGAGGUGGUGACUGUCCCUAGUCACCACCUCCCUCACUCUGUCACUAGUCACCACCUCCUUCUGUCACUAGCCACCCCCUCCGUCCCUUACCCUGUCACUAGUCACCCCUAACUCACUCUGUCACUAGUCGUUCCCCUCUCUCACUCUGUCACCAGUCAUUCACUCACUCUAUCACCAGUCACCCCUUCCUUCCCUCA